CAGCAGCCGCGGUAAUACGGAGGGAGCUAGCGUUAUUCGGAAUUACUGGGCGUAAAGCGCACGUAGGCGGCUUUGUAAGUUAGAGGUGAAAGCCUGGAGCUCAACUCCAGAAUUGCCUUUAAGACUGCAUCGCUUGAAUCCAGGAGAGGUGAGUGGAAUUCCGAGUGUAGAGGUGAAAUUCGUAGAUAUUCGGAAGAACACCAGUGGCGAAGGCGGCUCACUGGACUGGUAUUGACGCUGAGGUGCGAAAGCGUGGGGAGCAAACAGGAUUAGAUACCCGCGUAGUCCCUGUCUCUUAUAC
rnacentral:rRNA from 1 species